AGAGUUGGUGGCUAGGGUUCCGAUCUUGCGUGCAAGGUGCUGGUCCAAGAGCCGCCCCCCGAAGGGAGAAAUCCUUCGGAUGCACGGCGGGACAAAAGCCCGGGAGGC
rnacentral:sRNA from 20 species